GCGUGGGCGACGUUCGUCCGCGGGACUCGGAAUGGCCCCAGACUUGGCGGGCGGCCUCCGUGUGCGAAAAAUAGGCCACGGGCACAGCCGCGCCCAAAAAUCAGCCCCCGAAGGUCGGGGUCCCAAGACCCCCCAGCGGAAAAAUGGCCAAAAAACGGGUGGGCUAUAGCCUUGGUGGGGGGCGUGGGCGAUGUUCGUCCGCGGGACUCGGAAUGGCACCAUACUUGGUGGGCGGCCUCCGUGUGCCAAAAAUAGGCCACGGGCACAGCCGCGCCCAAAAAUCAGCCCCCGAAGGUCGGGGUCCCAAGGCCCUCCAGCGGAAAAAUGGCCAAAAAAAGGGUGGGCUAUAGCCUAUGUGGGGGGCGUGGGCGAAGUUCGUCAGCGGGACUCGGAAUGGCCUCAGACUUGGCGGGUGGCCUCCCUGUGCCAAAAAUAGGCCACGGGCACAGCCGCGCCCAAAAAUCAGCCCCCGAAGGUCGGGGUACCAAGACCCCCCAGCGGAAAAAUGGCCACAAAACGGGUGGGCUAUAGCCUUGGUGGGCGGCGUGGGCGCAGUUCGUCCGCGGGACUCGGAAUGGCACCAGACAGGGCGGGCGGCCUACGUGUGCCAAAAAUAGGCCACGGGCACAGCCGCUCCCAAAAAUCAGCCCCCGAAGGUCGGGGUCCCAAGACCCCCCAGCGGAAAAAUGGCCAAAAAAUGGGUGGGCUAUUGCCUAUGUGGGGGGCGUGGGCGAAGUUCGUCCGCCGGACUCGGAAUGGCCCCAGACUUGGCGGGCGGCCUCCGUGUGCCAAAAAUAGGACACGGGCACAGCCGCGUCCAAAAAUCAGCCCCCGAAGGUCGGGGUCCCAAGACCCCCCAGCGGAAAAAUGGCCAAAAAACGGGUGGGCUAUAGCCUUGGUGGGGGGCGUGGGCGAAGUUCGUCCGCGGGACUCGGAAUGGCGCCAUACUUGGCGGGCGGCCUCCGUGUGCCCAAAAUAGGCCACGGGCACAGCCGCCCCCAAAAAUCAGCCCCCGAAUGUCGGGGUCCCAAGACCCCCCAGCAGAAAAAUGGCCCAAAAAACAAUGGGCUAUAGCCUUGGUGGGGGGC
rnacentral:lncRNA from 1 species